ensembl:snoRNA
UCCCCUUUGAAAGCACUCACUGGGCCUCUUGCUAGUGACCCAUUGAGCCACCCCAAAGGGGAGAGUACGAACACCACUUUUGGGUGAAGUGGCAGCAUGAUGUGUUGUUUUGCUUCAAUCAGUAGUGUGACAAGA